UACGGGGGGGGCAAGCGUUGUUCGGAAUUACUGGGCGUAAAGGGCUCGUAGGCGGCCAACUAAGUCAGACGUGAAAUCCCUCGGCUUAACCGGGGAACUGCGUCUGAUACUGGAUGGCUUGAGUUCGGGAGAGGGAUGCGGAAUUCCAGGUGUAGCGGUGAAAUGCGUAGAUAUCUGGAGGAACACCGGUGGCGAAGGCGGCUUCCUGGACACUUACUGACGCUGAGACGCGAAAGCGUGGGGAGCAAACAGG
rnacentral:rRNA from 1 species